AUGGCCAUCGGUGAUUAUCCAGCAGAAUAUAACCCAAAGGUUCACGGACCCUACGAUCCGGCUCGUUUCUACGGCAAG
rnacentral:lncRNA from 1 species